rnacentral:misc_RNA from 1 species
UACGGAGGGUGCGAGCGUUGUCCGGAAUCACUGGGCGUAAAGGGCGCGUAGGCGGCCCGGUAAGUAGGGGGUGAAAUCCCGCGGCUCAACCGCGGGGCUGCCUUCUAAACUGCCAGGCUUGAGCACAGUAGAGGCAGGUGGAAUUCCCGGUGUAGCGGUGGAAUGCGUAGAGAUCGGGAAGAACAUCGGUGGCGAAGGCGGCCUGCUGGGCUGUAGCUGACGCUGAGGCGCGACAGCGUGGGGAGCAAACAGG